rnacentral:rRNA from 1 species
AGAGUUUGAUCAUCGGCUCAGAAUCAACGCUGGCGGCGUGCCUCAGACAUGCAAGUCGAACGCGAAAGUUUCCUUCGGGGAACAAGUAGAGUGGCGCACGGGUGAGUAACACGUAGGUAAUCUACCUUUGGAUGGGGAAUAACAACCGGAAACGGUUGCUAAUACCGCAUAAUGCAGCGGCACCUAAUGGUGACAGUUGUUAAAGCGGGGGAUCGAAAGACCUCGCGUCUGAAGAGGAGCCUGCGGCGGAUUAGCUAGUUGGUAAGGUAACGGCUUACCAAGGCCACGAUCCGUAGCCGGCCUGAGAGGGCGGUCGGCCACACUGACACUGACAUACGGGUCAGACUCCUACGGGAGGCAGCAGUCGGGAAUUUUGGGCAAUGGGCGCAAGCCUGACCCAGCAACGCCGCGUGAAGGAUGAAAUCCCCCGGGAUGUAAACUUCGCAAGAACGGGAAGAAUAAGUAGGGGCCAAUACCCUCUAUGAUGACGGUACCGUUUGUAAGCUCCGGCUAACUCCGUGCCAGCAGCCGCGGUAAUACGGGGGGAGCAAGCGUUGUUCGGAUUUACUGGGCGUAAAGGGCGCGUAGGCGGUCAGCACAAGUCAGUUGUGAAAUCUCCGAGCUUAACUCGGAAAGGUCAACUGAUACUGUGCGACUAGAGUGCAGAAGGGGCAACUGGAAUUCUUGGUGUAGCGGUGAAAUGCGUAGAUAUCAAGAGGAACACCUGCGGCGAAGGCGGGUUGCUGGGCUGACACUGACGCUGAAGCGCGAAAGCCAGGGGAGCGAACGGGAUUAGAUACCCCGGUAGUCCUGGCCUUAGACGAUGGGUACUAGGCUGUGGGCUUGACAUGGGCUCCCAGCCGAAGCAAAAGUGUUAAGUACCCCGCCUGGGGAGUAUGGUCGCAAGGCUGAAACUCAAAGGAAUUGACGGGGGCUCACACAAGCGGUGGAGCAUGUGGCUUAAUUCGAGGCUACGCGAAGAACCUUAUCCUGGGCUUGACAUGUGCGAAAGCGGUGGGUGUUGUAGCUGCCGGAAACGGCCAGCGAACCCGCAAGGGGGACCCACUACAGGUGCUGCAUGGCUGUCGUCAGCUCGUGUCGUGAGAUGUCGGGUUAAGUCCCAUAACGAGCGAAACCCUUGUCUCCAGUUGCCAGCGGGUCAAGCCGGGGACUCUGGAGAGACUGCCGGUGUUAAACCGGAGGAAGGCGGGGAUGACGUCAAGUCCUCAUGGCCUUUAUGCCCAGGGCUGCACACGUGCUACAAUGGCGUGAACAAAGGGACGCAAAGUCGCGAGACCCAGCAAAUCCCAAAAAACACGCCCCAGUUCAGAUCGGAGGCUGCAACUCGCCUCCGUGAAGUUGGAAUCGCUAGUAAUCGCGGGUCAGCAACACCGCGGUGAAUGUGUUCCUGAGCCUUGUACACACCGCCCGUCAAGCCACGAAAGGGAGGGGCGCCCGAAGACGCCUUCACCGGCGGCUACGGCGAACUUCCUGAUUGGGACUAAGUCGUAACAAGGUAACCGUA